rnacentral:rRNA from 2 species
GUGGGGAAUAUUGGACAAUGGGCGAAAGCCUGAUCCAGCAAUGCCGCGUGAGUGAUGAAGGCCUUAGGGUUGUAAAGCUCUUUUACCCGGGAUGAUAAUGACAGUACCGGGAGAAUAAGCUCCGGCUAACUCCGUGCCAGCAGCCGCGGUAAUACGGAGGGAGCUAGCGUUAUUCGGAAUUACUGGGCGUAAAGCGCACGUAGGCGGCUUUGUAAGUAAGAGGUGAAAGCCCAGAGCUCAACUCUGGAAUUGCCUUUUAGACUGCAUCGCUUGAAUCAUGGAGAGGUCAGUGGAAUUCCGAGUGUAGAGGUGAAAUUCGUAGAUAUUCGGAAGAACACCAGUGGCGAAGGCGGCUGACUGGACAUGUAUUGACGCUGAGGUGCGAAAGCGUGGGGAGCAAACAGG